AGCUUACCAUGAUCCAGGCAGGCAAUGUAAGUAUACUCUUCUCUAGGUAUAUUUGGACUAUAUUCUAUAAAUGCAUUUUUAUUACUUGUGGGACCUGAUGUUUUUCUCCACUCUAUAUGGAUCAUUACUAAAUUGUGAUGGUUGAGGAAGUCUGAAACCAACAAGAUUGAUGCAGUUUGCAUGUCAGACACAGUAGAUAAUCUGUAGGGCUGGAACAAUCACUUCCUAUUCCUAUAGGCCAGAAAAAUGCAUCAAUGAAUAGACAGACAUGUUUAUUAUUCCCAAUAAAUGCUCUGGGCCUGACAAUUUUUCUCAGUUUAAUGUAUGAAUUUCAUUUCAUAUCAGCAAUAAGAUACUCCAGGCUGUGCAUUUGUUAGGGAUUAUUGCACUUCUUGGGUGGUUUAAGUCAUACUGCCUUUAGUCUUAUGCCAUAUAACGUGACCCAAGGCGCCUGAUAAAUAGCAGAGCAAUGCACUGCCUGUCAUGUAUUAUAGCUUGAAUAGCCUUGUAAAGGGACAUGGAUUAUAGAGGUAUGAUAAUAACUAUAAAACGGGAGUGGUAAUUUAAGUGCCUGCAUAGGAUAAUCUGUAUGAUUAGUAUUUUUUAACAUUUUGGUCUUUUAUGUUUCAUUGUGCUUAGAUUUUCAUUUACUGAAAUCA
rnacentral:lncRNA from 10 species